ACAUGGUUUAAAAAAGAAUGACUUUUGCCAUUAUAAGUAAUUUUUUUAGGUUGGUUCAUUGUUGGAAUCAUGCAACUUACAAAAUACUUUCUUUCAUUUCUUUUUUUUAUUAGUACAUGUCCCUAGCAGAUACUGUUUAUAUUCCUUGAGUGGAGUUGGUGCUUGUACACAACACAUCUCAGUUCCUUUAUCCCCUUUCCCUCCCCUUCCCUCACCACCUUACAAAAUCUCAAGUCAGUGGGUCCUGCAAGCAAGAUGAGAGUGUUAGGGUCACCGAGGUCUGUUGUGAUCUGAAAGGAACAGUUCAGGUGUCAUUUCAGUGCAUUCAAACCCUAAAUAGUAGUACUCUCUACACACUAGGGUCCCUGAUGGGACUGGCUACUGGCAUUAGAAAAGCACACUUUUCCUCUGUAGAAGCUGUCCUGUUCAUAGAACUCAAGAUUGUGAGGACAUUCUUCAAGCUUCUAACUCACAACUCUCGGCUAUGAAAUAGCUUCUUCUGAAAAUGAAGCCAGAACAACCUACCUUUGUGGAUCAACUAUUAAUUCAUUCGAUGUUUUAGAAUUCUCCUUAGGUUCUCCUAGUCAAUCUGUUAUAGUAGGUUUCCAUAGGGACCUCAUUAUAUUGGAAUUUGAUUAAAAUUAAAUAUUUAUAGCAAAGUGUAAAUUCUUUUUAGUAAAGUUCAACAGUCAAUUAAUGAACAUGACUGAGCAGCUGUUAUAGCCCAGGAAAUAUGCUAGGUAAUGCAGGAAUCAGAGAUGAAUAAAAUUCAUCUUGUUAUUUCAAGGAACUCUCAAAACAAUGAACUACUCAGUUUAGUAAAAGAGACAAACAUAUACUAGUGGAUGCAAAGUCAGAUGUCCAAGAUACCAGGCAUGAAACAUGGAUACAAAGUGAAGGUUGUCUAGUGGCAUUUCUGGUGAACUGGAAGUGGCAUGCUCUGUUUUUUCCUCAAGGUGAAGUAUUGUCAAGUGGGAAUAUGUACCCAGUCUUGCCAUAUCUUCUGAUUGUUAAUUGUGAGAUCUACUGAUUUUUAUACAUUGGAAGGAGAUAAAACAUAUUCUAGAGACAAGACUGUCAAAGCUGCCUAUUUGUUAUACUUGGAGGUCACAUCAUGAAGUAAAGUGAAAAUGAAAUAGCAACCCUUUAAAGAUAUUUAAAAAAACAAAUACUAAGAAAAAUGUUAACAUUGAAUAAAAUUAAAAGAUGAGGAGGGGAAGGGAAGGAAGAAGAACAAAAGAAGUCAUAAGCAAAUUUUAUUAUUUUUUUUCCUGGUAAAGACAGACAGACAUUGCCCAAACAUACAGGAAGGAGGUAUUAUUAAAAUGUUUGCAUAAAUAUAACUAUAUGAAAAAUAAAUUAUCUUGCAUAAUGCUAAAUAAAUAUAAAGACAUUAUAAUUAACAUAAGGAACAGAGAAACAGAACAACAUAGUGAAAAGCUUUGAAAAACUGUACAAAUACAUACUAUAGAUAUAACAAACUAUAGGACUUAGACUGUCUAUAAUAAGAGAAAAUAAGAAACAACUUGUCAUGAGAUAAAACAAUAGUAAGCAAAGCAAUGGCAAAUGAAAUAAGUGAGACACAAUGAAAAAAUACUGUAUUAUCCCACUUGUGGGAUGUCUACAGCUAUAAACUAUACAGGGAAAGAAAAUGGUGGUUAACUGUGGUUGGGUGGGAAAGAAAAUAGUGAGUUUUUUGCUUAAUAGGUACAGGGAUGUUAUCUUGCAGUAUAAAAAGGGCUCAGGAAAUGGAUGUUGGUGAUGGUUAUACAAUAGUGUGACUGUACUUAAUAUCAAUAUGUUUAACUUGAAUUAAACAUUAUGCGAUGUAUA